GCCCUUCAUCUCGGUGCUGCAGUCCCCCGGCCUCCCUCGCUGGAGGUGGUUCCGUGCGGAGCGUCCCACAGAUGUGGAUUUCCUCUCCGUCCUGGUGGGGUUCGGCGCCUAACUGGAACCAUGUGCCUCGGUGUUUUUCCCUGUGCCCUCGAAUUCUGCUUUUUCGGCCGAAGGAAAGGAGCGGAGAGGAUGAUGCUGCAUUUUUAAUAUACCACAAAGCGUGCAAGGGAUUUCCCUGCAAAGCCUUCCACGCUGCCCUUCCCCAGACUGGUGGGCUGCAGCCGAGGGCUUCCAGAGACGACGCACUGGUGAAACAGACAUUUUGGAACAGCCGUCACAUAGUUUUUGCCUGAAUAGAGAGGGCCAGAUGCGUAGAGGAAACACGCUGGAGUCACUGGAUGUGUAAGACAGUCAGUCACCUAUAAGAAAGAAAACUCCCGCCAAGUGUGAUUUCUCCCUCAGUCUGAAGAUCCUUCCUCAAUAAAUUCAAUGGAAUUAGAGAAGAAUAAAGAUACCAAUAGAUAAUUGACUAAAUAAUCUAUGAAACAUCCCUAAGAUGAACUACUUGACAUAAAUACAAAUCAUCUCAUAGAUUUAUAAGGACAUGGAAAUACAUUCACUAAAUGGCAACACAUCCAGGAGAAACAAGAUCCUGAGGAAGAAGGAGCUGCCUCUCUCUGCGUGUCUCUUCUAAGAGUGAAGAAGCCUUUCCCAGAAGACCCCCGGAAGAUUUCUUCUGAAGUCUCAUUUCCCAUGCCCAUGUCUAAAUCAAUCACU